CCAGAUUGCAUAGUUGCAGACUAAAAUUUAGCCAACGACGUACAUGUCUACAUGAGUUCAUUUUUAAUUUUUGAGAGAAUACUAGAAAUCAUAGAGACAAUCUAAAAAUAAAUAAUUUGUGCAGUGUGCACUUCACAACGGACGUUCUACUAUUUUCGCAGGUGUUGAAAGCUGAAAAUGGUAAAUUUUUUAAUCUGCUCGGAAAUAAAGCGAAUCCGGAAUUGGCUUUACCCCAUCACGAUGGAUCGAUCUUUCCUGUCCACCGUCGUAAUAUUCGAAAAAUGAAAAUUCGGAAUGGAUACCAUACAAUUUUUCUCCUCUGCAGUUUGCUCCAACUUUCGAAUCAGACAAACUUCCUACACGGUUAACUCCCAAUCUACAACAACGGGGAACUCCCUGUCAACUUCCAACAGCGUCCGGAAUAUAGGGAGGACUUAUAAUUUUUAAAAGGGUUGGCAGUUGGCUAUAGGAGCAGCGCAUCAUCCAUCAAGAAACACAGGUGGCAACAACAUCCUGCGAAUAUCCUUUAAUUAUUCCUGCGGCGAUUCAGUAUAAAAAGACUGAUGCUCCACAACACGACAGCGCUGGCAACAUUGUGAAUGAGUGAUGAUCCCUGUGCGAUCAAUAAUAGUCCGCAUACUGCUUCUCACUACUGCGGAACAUGGAUGGGUUGCAACCGCGCACACUGAACGUCUAAUGAAGCCAUUUUAUUCCGGUUAAAAGCCAGCAACAAAAUUAUACAAGCGGUUUCAAACUUAAUCAAACUUUCAGUGGAAUUAGCCGGAAGGCGAAAUCCUGGUUAUACCAAAUGCAUCAGGAAAAAAUGUAGAGAGAAAACAAUUAAAAAUUCCAUCUCAUCGGUCAUCGGGGGCCUACGUCACACUGCUGGCCAGACACAGACCAGCGGAGGACUUCACUCAAUCUUGGCCAAGAAAAGCAGUUAGCAACGGAAUUCAACAUGUUGGAGCGUGAACUUCACGAUUUUUGCCGACCUUCACCUUUCGUUUUUUUUUCCUUGCCCAAAAGCCAAAAACACGGAACGCAAAAAAAUGACGACAUUUGUAAAUUUCCAGACUAUUUUACACAAAAAUAGUUUUAUUGUUGCACGUAUCGAUCUUAUCCGAGCGAUGCAGCGAUACAGCCCGACAAAAGAAAAAAAAAGUACAUGUCAAAAGUUCUGAUUGAUAUGGUCCAAUAUAUUUCAUACAGUGGACGGUGGCGCCAUCAAUUUCCGGGAUCAAUUCAACUUAAUCAGUUCGUCUUGCUUCGAAGUUUUGACAAAUGAGGAAUUACGAUGCCAGUCAGUGUGGCAAAACUUAAAAGGAUCACCACCAGUCAGACAUCCCUCAACAGUUUUCAGAAUUUCUUCAGCUGCUCAACUGCUUCUGUGUUACCGUAGAAGUGUCGGUGAUGAAGUCAACUCAUGUGACACAAAUCUCUUUCGAGCAGAUAAUGAGGAUCCACUACAUUUCGGUGAGUCCACAAAAUUUUUUUGUUUAUAGACACGAGUCACGUAAACACAUGCCCAAGGCUUCAAGCUCUGCUAGCUGCUAGCCCACAUGUUUAUAUCAGCAUAGUAUUUCGAUCAAGGUUACGCAAGGUAUCUCUCGAAUUCGUCCGGGUCUCUCGUUUUUCAACGGUAUAGUGAUUGCUCCGUAAAAUUUUAAAACUUUAAUUCUUCAGAAUGCAAUUUCGAUUGCAAUGGGAUCUUCUCAUCUUCAUACACAUUGUAAGUCAAUAGCGUAAUUAAAAAGUUAAAGCAGUAACAUGGGAAGCAUCGGAUUUUAAACGGUGGACUAUUCCAAAGCCUGUGGCUGCUUUUUCAUGAAGUGAAGUAAAACACUAUUCGCAAUUCUUUUCCCUUUUUUCCCCCGUUUCAAUGGGAACAUUUCAAGUCACAUGUGGAGACGAUUGGCCCAGUAAAUAUUUCGUAGCUUUCUACUGGUGCUUAGCAAAACCACAGUUAGAAUGCAGUAUGAAUCGUCGAAACCCUUUACUGUUGAUGACAAAAAUAUCUUCACCGAGUUGAUUUUGAAUUAUGUAAGGGGUUGUCAUAGCCCUGAGAACUUCUGAUUCGUUUAACCCUGCAUCGAAACAAUUUUUACACUUUCCGUUCCUACUUGUAACCUUGAUUUCAGUGCGAUUUGCCACUGAUUCUUUAAAGAUUUUUCCUUUUGAUGUUGACGAUGUCCGUUGACGUACGAACGAUGACACCGUAAAAUUGAUUUUCUGUUGAGCAAUUUUUUUUUAAAGACCAACCAAUUUUAAAGCGAGGCUUUUUUUCGAGGAAAAAUCAUUUGUUGCCAUGAAAUACUCAGCAAAAGGUCUCCACCAUUCUCUUUUUUUUUUCGCGCUAGUUUUUCAUGCAACUAAAUUGAACACAAUUGCAGACAAUUGUUAGUCCUUUUUUUGUUUUCUCGUCUUGUUCGAUAUCAGACUAAAAUAUAAUGGUUUCUUCCCUUCCAACGAAAGGUCGACAUCUUUCUUUGCUGAAAAGAUUGUUGUAAUUGUUGGAUUUCUUAUAGAAGCUUCUGAAUUUGUCGUGUUCGACGAUUACGAUUCGGCGAUUAAUUGAAUAUUCUUUUCAUAAUACUCAUUCAAAUUGCACUUUGAUUUGACCUUGUUCACUAAAGUCUUCCAGUUGGUAAGACAAUUAGGAAAUCUCCAAUUGAAGUAAGCCAUUGAGAGGUUGUCACAAUAAAUUUGUGUUUUUUUUAUGAUUUUUUUAAAGUGAGCCACAGUUUCAUGAUAUUACCUCUAGUAGAAUCCGUCUAGUGUGAUGCCAAUCCUGUAGCUCGUCUCCAAAGUUUUUACAGCAAAACGAGCAAACAGAUGGUCAUAAAAAUUGAUAGCGACAAAU